rnacentral:lncRNA from 1 species
AGAAAGGAAGGAAGGAAAAGAAAAGAAAAAAGAAAAGAAAGAAAAGGAAAGAAACGAAGAAAGGAAGAAAGAAAGACAAAGAGAAAGAAAAAAAAUCAGGAGUUUUAGAUAAGGGCUGUUGACAGCCAGCCAGGAUUGGAUUCUAGACUAGCCAAGGACUGCCAGUAGACUAAAGGUGAAUAACAAAAUUCAAGGAGGUAGGAGUGACUGAAAAUCGGAGGAGGUUUUUGUGUGAGAGAGACCAGGAUUUGUUUGCAAUGUUGUUAGCAAUAUUGAUUUUUUUUGUUACUCAGAUUAAUGUAUGUUAAACAGGAAAAUACAGGCAUUAGUCAAGUACAUUAUAAUCAUCUAUUGUUGAGAGCGAAGUUUCUCAGGUGGUUGAUGGAGACCAGGGACUGCGAGGCAGUUCUGGGGGCGUAUAAACAUUCCAGGCUCAAUUUGAGGCAGCCAGAGCCCCAAAUGUGGAAAGGAAGACGCAGCUUUACCUCCAGCUCAUCUCCCUCUCCCCCUUUUAGAAUUACAGCCUCUUAUUUAACCAACCCACUACCCGGGUGCAUCAGCCUCCAACCUCAUCCUCCCUGCUGAGCUAAAUGAUUAGCGGAAUUAAGGAGUGGAGGUGUUCUUGGCCACUCGGGUGGCCCAAACUUCCUCACCCCACCGGUCCAUCUGCCCCGCAGCCCCACCUCGAGGUCUCUUGGCCCUGGUAAGCAUCCUUCCAACCCUGUGGAGCCUCGAUUCAGGGCUGGUGGGGCUCCUGAAACCCAGCGUUGGUGGCAUGAGGGCCAGGCAUGGCGCAGAACCAGACUGUCUACACAUACACAGGCGUCCACACCUGUUAGGCCUGAAAAAGACUCCGGGUGAGGAGGGAGGUGCAG